rnacentral:rRNA from 1 species
UACGUAGGGGGCGAGCGUUGUCCGGAUUUAUUGGGCGUAAAGAGCGUGUAGGCGGCCAUGUAGGUCCGUUGUGAAAACUCGAGGCUCAACCUCGAGACGCCGAUGGAAACCAUGUGGCUAGAGUCCGGAAGAGGAGAGUGGAAUUCCUGGUGUAGCGGUGAAAUGCGCAGAUAUCAGGAAGAACACCCGUGGCUAAGGCGGCUCUCUAGUACGGUACUGACGCUGAGACGCGAAAGCGUGGGGAGCGAACAGG